rnacentral:rRNA from 1 species
AACGAACGCUGGCGGCAGGCCUAACACAUGCAAGUCGAGCGCCCAGCAAUGGGAGCGGCAGGCGGGUGAGUAACACGUGGGAACCUUCCCUAUAGUACGGAAUAGCCCAGGGAAACUUGGAGUAAUACCGCAUACGCCCGAGAGGGGAAAGAUUUAUCGCUAUAGGAUGGGCCCGCGUAGGAUUAGCUAGUUGGUGAGGUAAUGGCUCACCAAGGCGACGAUCCUUAGCUGGUCUGAGAGGACGACCAGCCACACUGGGACUGAGACACGGCCCAGACUCCUACGGGAGGCAGCAGUGGGGAAUAUUGGACAAUGGGCGAAAGCCUGAUCCAGCAAUGCCGCGUGAGUGAAGAAGGCCUUC